AUUUUUCUAAACAUAAUGCUAUUGCACACUUAAUAGACUAUAAUGCAGUGUAAAUAUAACUUUUCGAAAUAAUUUCAAAGGUAUUACAAGAAAACUAUAGAACAGUACCCCUUAUGGAUACUGAUGCAAAUAUCUUCAACAAAAUACUUGCAAGCUAAAUUCAACAGGAUAUUAAAAGGUUAUACAUGAUGACCAAGUGGGAUUUAUUCCUGGAAUACAAGUGUGCUUCAACAUAUAAAAAUCAAGUCAUGUAAUGUACCACAUUAACAGAAUGAAGGGGGAAAAUGCACAUAAUUAUCUCAAUUAAAUUAGAAAAAGCAUUUGACAAAACUUAUACCCUUUCACAAUUGAAAACACUCAAUAAACUAGGAAUAGAAGGAAAUUAUAUUAACAUAAUAAAGGCCAUAUAUGAAAAACCCAUGAGUAAAAUCAUACUCAAUGGUGAGAGACUGAAAGUUUUUCCUCUAAGAUUGGAAUAAGAAAAUAAUGCCCACUCAUGCCACUUCUAUUCAACACAGUACUGGAAGUCCUAGCCAGAACAAUUAAGCAAGCAAAAUAAGUAAAAGGCAUUCAAGUUAUACAAGAAAUAAAAUUAGUUAGUUCUGUUUGCAGUUGAAAUAAUUUUAUAUGUGGAAAAUCCUAAAGACUCCACCAAAAAACUGUGAGAAGUAAUAAAUGAAUUCAGCAAUGUUGAUGGAUACAAAAUCAAUACACAAGACUGGAUGUAGUGACUCAUUCCUGUAAUCCCAGCACUUUGGGAGGCUGAGGUGAGAGGAUUGCUUGAGGCCAUGAGUUUGAGACCAGCCUGGGCAAUAUAGCAAGACUCUGAUCUACAAAAAAAUUAUUUUAAAAAUUAGCCAUCUGUGGUGGUGCAUGCCUAUAGUCCUAGCCACUCAGGAGGCUGAAACAGGAGGAUUGCCUGAGUGCAGGAGUUCAAGGUUACAGUGAGCUAUGAUCACACCACCGCACUCCAGCGUGAGUGACAGAGUGAAACUCUGUCUUUUAAAAAAAAUUAUUUACAUUUCUAUACACUAACAGUGAGAAAUCUGAAAGAAUAAUUAAAAAACAAUCUCAUUUAAAAUACUUAUGAUUAAACUUAACCAAGGAAGCAAAAGACUUGUACACUAAAAACUAUGAAAUGUUACUGAAAGAAAUUUAAGAAGACAAAUAAAUGCAAAGACUGUCCAAUGAGGAAAAUACAGUCUUCAACAAAUGUUGCUGGGGAAACUGGAUAUCCACACAGAAAAGAAUGAAGUUAUACCUUUACAUUAUACCAUAUACAAAAAUUAACUCAAAAUGGAUGAAAGACCAAAAUAUAAGAGCUAAAAGCAUGAAACUCUUAGCAGAAGACACAGGGACAAGCCUCAUAAUAUUGGAUUUCACAAUGAUUUCUUGGAUAUGACACUAGAAGAACAGGAAACAAAAGAAAAUAACAGAUAAAUUGUACUACAUCAAAAUGAAAGACUUUUGUGCAUCAGAGGAUGUAGCAAUGGAAUGAAACGGGAAAAUAUUUUCAAAUCAUGUAUCCGAUAAGAGAUUAAUAGCUAGAAAAUAUAAAGAACUCCUACAACUCAGCAAAAACAACAACAGAAAACAACCCAAUUCAAAAAUGGGCAAAGGACUUAGACAUUUCUCCAAAGAAGAUAUACAAGUAGCAAUAAACACAUGAAAGAUUUUAAGUGUGUUUUGGAUAAAGAGCCAAGAGUGUGGCUGGAUACCUUUUGCUAAAGACAUUUAAUGUGUGAUUAAUAAAUCCAAUUAAUCCUCUCAGCUGAAUCGAGGAAAAAUAUACAGUAUCCAGAAAGGAUCUGUGGAUAACCCUCUUGUCUGAUGGCAUGGAUCCCUUUGACACACACAGGAGACCCACAAGGUUUUUUCAGAAGAACGUUAUACCACUAAAAAGACUGCCACUUUGACCUGAAGAAAACAAAAAAAGGGAAAAAUGAAAGAAAGCUAUCAGACAUCUAGGAUUCUACAGGCAGUAAAAAGGAUGAUAGAGUUACUUGACCGUUAACAUCUGACAUCCUUUAAGAUAAAGGAAGAAUGACUCAGAGGGCAGAGCCAUGGAUACAGAGGAGGACGCCAGUAGAGCAGUGAUGCCUUUGUGGCCCAGACAAUAAAGCAUCAAGCCACAGAGGGUAAUUCUCAGGCCUUGAAACCCGGCCAGGUUUCUGUUUUUUGUUUUUUUGAGGCAGAAUCUCACUCUGUCGCCCAGGCUGAAGUGCAGUGGUGUGAUUUUGGCUC
rnacentral:lncRNA from 1 species